ensembl:misc_RNA Y_RNA Y RNA
GGCUGGUCCGAGUGCAGCGGUGUUUAUGACUAAUUGAUCACAACCAGUUACAGAUUUCUUUGUUCCUUCUCCAUUCCCACUGCUUCACUUGACUAGCCUUUA